CGGUAACCGGUGUUGCAACGGUAACAGGGCUCCGACUCCUGUGUCCUCUGCUGAAUGUAUUAACGAGAACAUUCACUGCAAAAUAUGAAAACCUGGGUGAAGACCAACCUGAGGGCUGAGGACUAACCUGAGGGUAUGGGGCCUAACCUGAGGGGUGAGGACCAAUCUGAGGGUAAGGGACCAAUCUGAGGGUAUGGAACCAACCUGAGGGUAGGGGACUAACCGGAGGGUAGGGGACAAACCUGAGGGUAGGGGACCAACCUGAGGGUAGGGGACCAACCUGAGGGUAGGGGACCAACCUGAGGGUAGGGGACCAACCUGAGGGUAUGGGGCCUAACCUGAGGGUAGGGGACAAACCUGAGGGUAGGGGACUAACCUAAGGGUAGGGGACCAACCUGAGGGUAGGGGACUAACCUAAGGGGCGGGAACCUCUCAGGGUUGCCAUGACGACAAACAUCAAACACAUGAGGCGUUUAUUGAUCCACAGAUGGAUGUAAAAAACCACAAACAGCAAUAAAGUACUGAAGGUGGAUGAAGAGUUCAGGUGUAAAAUAAAACACACCUGGACUGAUGGUUGCUGGUUACUACGGCAACGCUUCUGUAACUAUGUGUUCCUGUAAACAUUAAGAUGUUUAAAUAUAGUUUAUAGUAAAAUAAAAAGCUUCAAUCCUUUAA